AGUGAACGCUGGCGGUAGGCCUAACACAUGCAAGUCGAACGGCAGCACAGUAAGAGCUUGCUCUUACGGGUGGCGAGUGGCGGACGGGUGAGGAAUACAUCGGAAUCUACUUUUUCGUAGGGGCUAACGUAGGGAAACUUACGCUAAUACCGCAUACGCCCUACGGGUGAAAGCAGGGGAUCUUCGGACCUUGCGCGAUUGAAUGAGCCGAUGUCGGAUUAGCUAGUUGGCGGGGUAAAGGCCCACCAAGGCGACGAUCCGUAGCUGGUCUGAGAGGAUGGUCGGCCACACUGGAACUGGGACACGGACCAGACUCCUGCGGGAGGGAGCAGUGGGGAAUAUUGGACAAUGGGCGCAAGCCUGAUCCAGCCAUACCGCGUGGGUGGAGAAGGCGUUCGGGUUGUAAAGCCCUUUUGUUGGGAAAGAAAAGCAGCAGGUUAAUACCCCGCUGGUCUGACGGUACCCAAAGAAGAAGCACCGGCUAACUUCGUG
rnacentral:rRNA from 1 species